UUGGUACUAUCUCCGUCCGAAAAUACUUGUCAUCAAAAUGGAUAAAAUAAGAUGUAUCUAGACGUAUUUUAGUUUUAGAUACAUCUUUUUUAUCCAUUUUGAUAACAAAUAUUUUCGGAUAGAGGGAGUAGUAA
rfam:Triticum urartu cultivar G1812 contig792831, whole genome shotgun sequence.